CUGAAGAUGGUCCUGAGUGGUCUGUGCACAGCAGAGCUGAGGGAUUUGGAAUUGUCAUGCACAGACAUUGCUCAAGCUGGCAAAAGGACUUUGCAAGGGCUCUUAAGGACAGAAACCCUGAGGAUGCUCAAUAAAUAAUCACAGGAAUGAUGCUGUGAAUGUGACUUUGCCAUUGUUACACAUUUCUGCUCCUCCUUGUAGUGACAUUUUGGCCACCGUGGCACUGCCAGGGACACUCCUGAGCAGAGAAGGUGCUGCCAGCCCCCAGCCCUGUGUCCUGCCCUGAAAACAAGUCCUGAAAGAAGUUUCUAAGCCUCAAACUACCAGAAAAAGCCUGAAAAAAAACAUAGAGGAGCAUCUACUUGAGUUUGCUACCAGUCCAGAGCCUGGUUCCCCCCUCCAUGAGCCAGUGAACAGGGAAAACCAUCAUCACAACUCCUAACCAAUGCAUUAACUCAGAGAAGGGGCAGCAGAAGGAAAGGCUGGAGCCACUGCCCGCCCUGGAGCUGGAACAGGGUUUGAGCAGCAGAGAUGCAAGAGAAAGAAAAAAACCCCUCUCUCAGAUGGCUGCAAAGAGAAGGUCUCUGCAGUCACUUCUCGAACACUGAAGAUAUUUUCAUUUAAAAAUAGCCACUUAAAGGCAGGUUUAAUCUCCAAAUGGCAUUUUCCACUU